UUCCAGUGCAAUAUAUGUAUAUUGCACUCAGUUUGAGUGCAAUAUAUCUAUAUUGCACUUGAA
rnacentral:miRNA from 1 species